GGGCGUGUGGUCUAGUGGUAUGAUUCUCGCUUUGGGUAUUGUUGAAUACGUGAAUAUGCGAGAGGCCCUGGGUUCAAUUCCCAGCUCGCCCC